CCUACGGGAGGCAGCAGUGAGGAAUAUUGGACAAUGGGCGCAAGCCUGAUCCAGCCAUGCCGCGUGCAGGAUGACGGUCCUAUGGAUUGUAAACUGCUUUUGCACAGGAAGAAACAACGCUACGUGUAGCGUCUUGACGGUACUGUGAGAAUAAGGAUCGGCUAACUCCGUGCCAGCAGCCGCGGUAAUACGGAGGAUCCAAGCGUUAUCCGGAAUCAUUGGGUUUAAAGGGUCCGUAGGCGGUUUAGUAAGUCAGUGGUGAAAGCCCAUCGCUCAACGGUGGAACGGCCAUUGAUACUGCUAGACUUGAAUUAUUAGGAAGUAACUAGAAUAUGUAGUGUAGCGGUGAAAUGCUUAGAGAUUACAUGGAAUACCAAUUGCGAAGGCAGGUUACUACUAAUGGAUUGACGCUGAUGGACGAAAGCGUGGGUAGCGAACAGGAUUAGAUACCCUGGUAGUCCACGCCGUAAACGAUGGAUACUAGCUGUUGGGAGCGAUCUCAGUGGCUAAGCGAAAGUGAUAAGUAUCCCACCUGGGGAGUACGUUCGCAAGAAUGAAACUCAAAGGAAUUGACGGCNGAGAGAGCGAGGACGACGACGAGGGGAGGAGG
rnacentral:rRNA from 1 species